GCCGUAAAACGUGACCCAAAGGCAUGUCCUACGCGUACAAUAUUACGGCUGAACACGUUGUGGUUAUUGUGUUGGGUGGCUGACUUGUAAUCAGUAGGUCCCGGGUUCGACUCCUGGUGCCGGCACCA
rnacentral:tRNA from 1 species